CCUUCGAUAGCUCAGUUGGUAGAGCGGAGGACUGUAGGUUGUAAUACAAGGUAUCCUUAGGUCGCUGGUUCAAAUCCGGCUCGAAGGA
rnacentral:tRNA from 1 species